rnacentral:rRNA from 1 species
UACGUAGGGUGCGAGCGUUAAUCGGAAUUACUGGGCGUAAAGCGUGCGCAGGCGGUUUUGUAAGCCAGAUGUGAAAUCCCCGGGCUUAACCUGGGAAUGGCAUUUGGGACUGCAAAGCUUGAGUGUGGCAGAGGGGACUGGAAUUCCUGGUGUAGCAGUGGAAAUGCGUAGAGAUCAGGAGGAAUACCGAUGGCGAAGGCAGGUCCCUGGGCUGACACUGACGCUCAUGCACGAAAGCGUGGGGAGCAAACAGGA